rnacentral:rRNA from 1 species
AACACAAGGUCUUGGUCUUAAACCUCUCAUUAUCUUAACUCCUUACUUAUACAUGCAAGCCUCGACACAACAGUGAGAUAGCCCACUAUUACACCAAGCGGAGCCGGUAUCAGAUCAACCCCAUGACACCAAGCAAUAAAGCCACACCCACACGGGCUAGCAGCAGUACUUAACAUUGGGCCAUAAGCGCAAGCUUGACCUAGUAAUGUAACAACAACAGUUAAACAACAAACUGUUCGCCAAAUAACUACGAGUUAAAACUUAAAAUUUAAAAGACUUGACGGUACUUCACACCAACCUAGAGGAGCCUGUCCAAUAACCGAUGAUCCACGAUUAACCCUACCCGCCCUAGCCUAACAGUCUAUAUACCGCCGUCGCCAGCUUACCUUGUAAAAGAAAUAAAGUAAGCCCAAUAAUAACCCAUUAAUACGACAGGUCGAGGUGUAACCAAUGGACGGGAUAAAGAUGGGCUACAUUUUCUUUUAAACCAGAACAAACGAACAGACUAUGAAACUAGAAACUGAAGGUGGAUUUAGCAGUAAGCCAGGAAUAAACAAGCCUAGCCGAAACCAACGCAAUGAAGUGCGUACACACCGCCCGUCAUCCCUGAAGAACAUUAAACUAAUUCAUAAAAAACUACCGUUUCACCAAAACAGGGCAAGUCGUAACACGGUAAGCGUACUGGAAAGUGCGCU